rnacentral:tRNA from 1 species
GCGGGAGUGGCGAAAUCGGCAGACGCGCCAGAUUUAGGUUCUGGUAGGGAAACCUAUGUGGGUUCAAGUCCCACCUCCCGCACCA